rnacentral:misc_RNA from 1 species
UUCGGAACCAGGUGACGAGGUGCAUGCUCUCCUCCGGUUGGCUCUCGUCAAGUGCCUUGCGACCGGUGAUUAGUUCCAUCAGUAUUACCCCGAAGCUGAAGACAUCGGCCUUUGUCGUCACACGCCCGGUCACUGCAUACUCGGGAGCGAGAUAUCCGAAUGUCCCUGCAAGCCUUGUCUCAAUGGAACACCCUUUCCCAUCCGGAGCAAGCCGAACUAGUCCAAAAUCGGCCACCUUGGCUCUCAUGUCAUCCCCAAGUAGGAUAUUAGAGGGCUUAAGAUCCCUGUGUAUGAAGCUCUGAUGGGCCAAACUAUGUAGA